GACGAACGCUGGCGGCGUGCUUAACACAUGCAAGUCGAACGGAAAGGCCCUGCUUUUGUGGGGUGCUCGAGUGGCGAACGGGUGAGUAACACGUGAGUAACCUGCCCUUGACUUUGGGAUAACUUCAGGAAACUGGGGCUAAUACCGGAUAGGAGCUCCUGCUGCAUGGUGGGGGUUGGAAAGUUUCGGCGGUUGGGGAUGGACUCGCGGCUUAUCAGCUUGUUGGUGGGGUAGUGGCUUACCAAGGCUUUGACGGGUAGCCGGCCUGAGAGGGUGACCGGCCACAUUGGGACUGAGAUACGGCCCAGACUCCUACGGGAGGCAGCAGUGGGGAAUAUUGCACAAGGGGCGGAAGCCUGAUGCAGCAACGCCGCGUGCGGGAUGACGGCCUUCGGGUUGUAAACCGCUUUCGCCUGUGACGAAGCGUGAGUGACGGUAAGGGGUAAAGAAGCACCGGCUAACUACG
rnacentral:rRNA from 1 species